rnacentral:rRNA from 1 species
CGGGGUGCACCAGGCGCGAAAACUUUACAAUGCUGGCAACAGCGAUAAGGGGACCUCGAGUGCCAGGAUACAAUCUUGGCUGUCGCGAUGCCUAAAAAGCAUUGCAUAGCAAGGGCCGGGCAAGACCGGUGCCAGCCGCCGCGGUAACACCGGCGGCUCGAGUGGUAACCGCUAUUAUUGGGUCUAAAGGGUCUGUAGCCGGCCGGAUAAGUCUUUUGGGAAAUCCAGCUGCUCAACAGUUGGGCUUUCAGAAAAUACUGUUCGGCUCGAGACCGGGAGAGGUGAGAGGUACUUCAGGGGUAGGGGUGAAAUCUUGUAAUCCUUGAAGGACCACCAGUGGCGAAGGCGUCUCACCAGAACGGAUCUGACGGCAAGGGACGAAAGCUAGGGGCACGAACCGGAUUAGAUACCCGGGUAGUCCUAGCCGUAAACGAUACUCGCUAGGUGUCAGCCACGGUGCGACCGUGGUUGGUGCCGUAGGGAAGCCGUGAAGCGAGCCACCUGGGAAGUACGGCCGCAAGGCUGAAACUUAAAGGAAUUGGCGGGGGAGCACAAGGGCGAUUCGCG